GUCUUCGUGGUGUAAUGGUCAACACACUCGGCGCAUAUUCGAGAAGUCCGAGGUUCGAGUCCCAGCGAGGGCU
rnacentral:tRNA from 1 species